CUGUGAAGAGGGAUGUGUUUGCUUCUCCUUCCACCAUGAUUGUAAGUUUACUGAGACCUCCCCAGCCAUGCUGAACUAGCCUGGUUCUUGUCUCUGGAGCAGACUUGGCAGACACAAGCGGCUACUCAGACGAGGAAGCUGAGGCACAGAGACCAUAAGCAAUGUUUCCAAAGUCACACGGUUGGUUAUGACGAAUUUUAAGAAGUUUGAAAACCGCUUCUCUAAAGCAGGAGGAAUCUGUCCAGGAGGAGGAUGUUGCAGAUGAAUAGGCCUUUGUUAGCUUCUACUCCACCAAAGAGCCUUUGCAAACAUGCAGACGAGAACCUCAACCUGCUGUCUCCAACCUCCACCAGGCCCCACUCCCUUGCAUUCUUUGAUAUGGCCAAUCUACGUAUUUUUAUUUUUAAAUGAGUAUGUCAAUAGUUUUGGGGAAACAAGUGGUGUUCAGUUGCAUAAAUUCUUUAGUAGUGGUUUCUGAGAUUUUGGUGCAUCCAGCACCCAAGCAGUGGACACUCAACCUAAUGUGUAGGUUUUUUUUUUUUUUUAAUUUUUUGACAGUCUCACUCUGUCGCUCAGUCUGGA